rnacentral:rRNA from 1 species
AGUGAACGCUGGCGGUAGGCCUAACACAUGCAAGUCGAACGGCAGCACAGGAGAGCUUGCUCUCUGGGUGGCGAGUGGCGGACGGGUGAGGAAUACAUCGGAAUCUGCCCAGUCGUGGGGGAUAACGUAGGGAAACUUACGCUAAUACCACAUACGACCUUCGGGUGAAAGAGGGGGAUCGCAAGACCUCUCGCGAGUGGAUGAGCCGAUGUCGGAUUAGCUAGUUGGCGGGGUAAUGGCCCACCAAGGCGACGAUCCGUAGCUGGUCUGAGAGGAUGAUCAGCCACACUGGAACUGAGACACGGUCCAGACUCCUACGGGAGGCAGCAGUGGGGAAUAUUGGACAAUGGGCGCAAGCCUGAUCCAGCCAUACCGCGUGGGUGAAGAAGGCCUUCGGGUUGUAAAGCCCUUUUGUUGGGAAAGAAAUCUUUCAGGCUAAUACCCUGGGAGGAUGACGGUACCCAAAGAAUAAGCACCGGCUAACUUCGUG